AUGUCCUCAAUCAAACAGCAAAGAACUGACUGGCUUGAGCACAAUGAGGGCCACUCCAAUAGCGCAGCGGACAGCAGGUCUUGGGCAAAACUAUGGGGUGCUCCGGUCCCCUCUAAGGUUCGUGUUUUUGCCUGGCGGCUGGCUAGAACCUCAAUCCCUAUAGGAGACGUCCGAAAGCACAGGAAAAUGAUAGAUUCUGUGGAAUGCUCAAUCUGCCACGCAGCGGUGGACUCUUGGCGCCACUCUCUCUUCGAUUGCCACAUGGCACGCUGCGUGUGGGCUCUCGCAGACGAAGAACUGACGGAGACCGUUAUCUCCAACCGGACGGAAGAUGCCAAGCUUUGGAUGUUUUGGCUGGUGGAUACUUUACCUACAGCAGAGUUAGCGGGCGUGCUCGUCACAAUGUGGGCAGUCUGGUGGGCGAGAAGAUGGGCCAUCCACGAUAAUCAGUUCCAGAGUCCUCUCAGCACUCAUGUUUUCAUCAAUAAAUUCAUCCCAGAACUUGAUCAAAUUCCUGAGAAGGCCGCGCGAACGAGUGACCUGCAUGGGUGGCUUCCACCUGAAGCGCAUGCAUACAAAAUGAACACAGAUGCUGGUUUCUCUAAGAUUGGAGACAGCAGGGCUGCUGCUGUGAUUUGCCGCGACGCUAAUGGCAAUUAUCUUGGGGCAUCGGCGAUCAUCUCAGUUGGCUUAAUGGAUCCAACCAUCCUGGAGGCUUGGGCGUGUAGUGAGGCGCUUUCCCUCGCAAGUGACCUCCACAUCCAGUCCAUUUGCGUGGCAUCGGAUUGCCUGGAAAUCGUAAACCGGAUAGAGAAUGUUUCUCCUUGCAAUUAUUUUUCCAUCUUGCAAGACAUUCAGCACCAGAAAAUGCUUUUCAAUGAUGUAAAAUUUAUCCAUGAGAGUAGGAAGAAUAAUAGGGAGGCUCAUGCUUUGGCAAAGGCAGCAGCCUCUCUACCCCCCGGGCGCCACGUAUGGCUUAUUAGCAGACCCGAUAUCAUCUGUAUCCCUAUGUGUGUGAACUUUUAA
rnacentral:rRNA from 1 species